GACGAACGCUGGCGGCGUGCUUAACACAUGCAAGUCGAACGAAGAGCGACGGAAGCUUGCUUCUAUCAAUCUUAGUGGCGAACGGGUGAGUAACGCGUGAUCAACCUGCCCUUCAGAGGGGGACAACAGUUGGAAACGACUGCUAAUACCGCAUACGAUCUAACCUCGGCAUCGAGGAUAGAUGAAAGGUGGCCUCUACAUGUAAGCUAUCACUGCAGGAGGGGAUUGCGUCUGAUUAGCUAGUUGGAGGGGUAACGGCCCACCAAGGCGAUGAUCAGUAGCCGGUCUGAGAGGAUGAACGGCCACAUUGGGACUGAGACACGGCCCAGACUCCUACGGGAGGCAGCAGUGGGGAAUCUUCCGCAAUGGACGAAAGUCUGACGGAGCAACGCCGCGUGAGUGAUGACGGCCUUCGGGUUGUAAAGCUCUGUUAAUCGGGACGAAAGGCCUUCUUGCGAAUAGUGAGAAGGAUUGACGGUACCGGAAGAGAAAGCCACGGCUAACUACGUG
rnacentral:rRNA from 1 species